AGCGGAGGAAAAGAAACUAACAAGGAUUCCUCUAGUAACGGCGAGUAAGCAGGAAUAGCUCAACUUUGAAAUCUGGCCCUUUCAGGGUCCGAGUUGUAGUCUCGAGAAGCAACGUCCGCGCCGGACCUUGGGUAUGUUGGUUGGAAAACCACGUCAAAGAGGGUGACAAUCCCGUUUGUACCAAGGACGCCCGUGUGCAUUGUGAUGUGCUUUCCAAGAGUCGAGUUGUUUGGGAAUGCAGCUCAAAUCGGGUGGUAAAUUCCAUCUAAAGCUAAAUAUUGGCGAGAGACCGAUAGCGAACAAGUACCGUGAGGGAAAGAUGAAAAGCACUUUGGAAAGAGAAUGAAACAGUAUGUGAAAUUGCUGGAAGGGAAACGAUUGAGGUUAGACUUGCUGGCCCGGUCCUCAGCCCUCACGGGUGUAUUGGCCGGGCGUUGCAGGCCAGCAUCGGUUUGUUGUCGGGUAAAAGGGUGCGGGGGAUGUAGCAGCCUCGGCUGUGUUAUAAACCCGCACUGGAUGCCCCAUCGCAGACCGAGGUACGCAGGGCGCCGCAAGGCAGGGCCUCUUGGCCCCGAGCCCUUAGGAUGCUGGUAGAAUAGCCU
rnacentral:rRNA from 1 species